AAUGGACUCUGCACCGUUCCUACUGAAGGUUUUUUUUGUCACCUGCGUUCGCGACAUCCACCUUCAGCCUAGCCAUAGCUUCGAGUAGAACCUAGACUCUUGCGCUAGUCGAGCGGAUACCCCACUCAAUAGUUCAGGCGUUGAAGUCUCCAUCGAUGACCACGCGACUCAAUCUGACUAGUGCGCUAGAUAGCAAAUCCAGCAUUGAUGAGAAGUGGUCUAUCGAGCAUAACACCUGCAGUAAUACACCCCGUUCAUCUUCGCUAUUGCGAAGCCCUCGAGUGACGUGGAAAUUAUUUCCCGGACCGGAAAACGACCGGUUGUACAGAUUGCCGCUAGCUUGGUCUUAUCUGCUACCUAGUUCCCGUUAUCGGGAGGGAUGCGGUAUGGGUCCGAUAGUAGGACAAUGUAUGUACUUGACUCCGAGAGUGACUGCCACAGCAACUGUUGUGCGGCUUCAGAGUAGUUUAGGUUUAGCUGUGUAAUCUGCGUUAUCGUUCAAUUGGUUCGACCUCCUCCCGUGCCCGGAAUCCGGGAUAAUUUGGUAUCAGGCUGGGUAGACCUUCGCUGGAUGUAUAGGUCGGGCUCCUGGGUGAGAUGAGCGGAGGAAUGUUCCCUUGACUGAUUGAUAGCGAGGAUUUUUGCUGGCAAAUCGGACGGGAAAUCGGAGCAGACCUCUUGGGAAACGGCACUGGACGUGUGUGUGUGUGUAUCGAACUUUCGGCUUGAAACCAGCGUAUACCGGUUUGUAGCUUCCCAAGCAAUUGAAAAAAAGGCUAACUAUUUUGUUGAAUAAGAACAACAGGACAUCUUGUUAUGAUCUGAUUCAGAUUAUUUUAUUUCGAUGCACGCAGCCUUUCUGGAGAACGGUACGCAGAUCGGCGUGGGGUUUUCACGCCGCCGCUGAUGCUUCUUGGAACAGCAUCAUACAUCAUAACCAAAAACUGGACACACCAGUGAUCCACCAUGCAUACAAUAUACUAUAUUCUUGAGAACUUGGGGAGCCACAAGCCGAUAUGCGUCGAUUUCACACUUUUACAUCGAAAAAAAAAACUCCCACUUGAGAGGUGGAACGAGACAGCCUGUUCCUGCUGAAUCACGAAUGAGGCAUUCGUGGACCAAGAGUAAAGUUGUUACGGGAGGGUCUCUGCUAAAAGGCAUAGUCGGGCUUUCGGGAACGCGUUCACGGGAAGUAUGGUGCUUUGGAUAUGAUGGUCGAUCAUCCUAAAGAAGUGCGCCAGGCGGCAGUACGACAAAUGAAUUUCAAUGAAACUCAUUUGGAGCUCCCGCGUUGUAGCUGCUACUGUAGCAGUUUAUUGGAUCGCCUACUAUACUGGUUCAGAAAAAAUUCUCCCGGAUAUGAAGAGCCAGCGAUACAAUCAUCAAAUUCAAGCAAACUACUGUUACCAUUCCCAGCACUGGCCCGGAUAUUUAGGCCCGCCCGUCGUGUGACCCUUGUUCGCCGGGCAAAUCAGUCAUUUGCCGAGUUACACUCUCUGGCGAUGUGGCCUUCCUCUACGCACUUCCUGCAGCUCCUGCCGGAGCCGGGAAUACGAUGAUUCGUAGGGUAGCGAGCCACAUAGGCAGUGGUCGGUAUGUAUUUAGCUUUGCGCACUUUUCGCUAUAACGCAGUCAAUUCCAAACCAAUUGACUUGAACGUUUGUACACGGCUAGAUACUAUGCGUAUCUCACCGCGUUCCGAAAAUUGUGUCAAUUGGUUCAAAGCUGCCCAUAAUAGGAGCCCUGCCGAGAUGGUUCCACUUCCAUAUGCAGAAAUCCACGCACACAUUUGCUUGCAUGCUCCUUAGGCGAAGAAAACUGUAAACAAACAUUUUAUGAGCGGGAAAAAACGAUUGAUAUAAUUGAUUUAACAGCUUAUGCUGUAGUCUGCAGCAGUGAAAUCCAACUUUAAAGAGCCACAGAGCUUUUGUGGGGUGUGAAUUGAAGGUUGAUUCAACAAGUGAAUCAGGUGAAGUAAAAAUUGAACCGGGGUGAAGAACAAUUCAGCUGGCGACUGCUUUGGUGUGGUUGCCUUCGUAGUACGCAAAACGAGACAACUUUUAAGGUCGUAAGUGGAUUGGAAUUGAAACAUGAAAUUUUACGUAAUUAUUCAAUUUCUUUUGCUAUAGGAGGUGGUUAUCUCGAUAGUCUACAUUUUUUUUGCUUCCAUCUAAUUAGGCAAUGACAAUGGUAAAUCAGAAUAUCUAUAAUGAUGAGCUAUUUUUCGUCUGAUGAGACGACAAUUAGCGCAGAUGACGAAGAAAAUUUGUACCUCAUGUCGUGGAUUUUCCGAAACUUAUAUAUUUCCGGCGUAAACAAACGUGUACCGACGGAACUACUUUUAUCACAUUAUAUCAGCGUCGUCAUUGCUUCAUUUGUUUGAAUCGCAGCUUUCCUAUCUAAAUAAUUGUAAUAACUAAUCUCUUUCUUCUCAUCCUAUUUAUUUUAUUCGUUCCUCUAGCUGCCAAUGUACCAUAUCCUAGACCGAACGUGCUGAUGCCGAGGGAUCCCCACUCGGAGGUCCUGCUGCGCAUGUCCUACGAUCCCCUACAGCAGGCCGCUGAGUUCCAACGGCAAAACGCGUUGGACCGUGCCCACUCGCUGCAUGAGCAGUAUCUUAGACAACACGAGCGGGAAAUGAAAGUAAGAGCACUGGAAGAAGCGGCACGUGGCGGUAAACCAAUGUAGGCGACUCUGUAGACUAACUUCUAGGACGCGAUGAGGAUAUUGAUGAGAAAGAAAAGAAGAAGAAGAAGAGGGUGAGAACAGACACAGACAGGAAAGAAAUUGCGGCGAACUAAAUAGGUUAUGUCAAGCAACUUUUGUUUUCUUCCGGUACCUACUCGUAUGAAUGAAAUGGUUGUACAUAUUUGGUCAAAAGUAACCCGCCAGUGAAGAUCUCUAGGCAAUCGUUUUAAGGCACAAGUUGAGUUUCGAUUCGAUUAGUCAUGAUAACAAUUAUUUAUUCAAAGAAGCCGGCAUCACUGGUUACUUUGUUGCCGUACUGUCGAUUGAAGAUUAUGGGCGAGGAAGGGAAUAAUUUGUUUCACAUAGCAAAUUUGCUUGACUUUCGAGAUGAUAUUAACAAACAGUCUGUUCCGCACAGUGAGUAUUAAUUACGUUAAAAAUUGCGUAACAAUCAAAUGUGUGAACAAUUCGAAUCAAGUUGCCCAUGGUUUUCAAGGCACUCUUGAUCGAGAGGUAAACAAGCUUGGAAACUUGGUUUCAAAAUAAAUCAGUUUCAUGAAGCGUUUCACAACAAGUACUCACUGUGCAUUGUUACACCUGAUAGGGAAAUGAAUCUAAAUCAAAGAAAAGCAAACCUAAUUGGCAGUAUGUGGUGAGUUUCUACACUGCAAAUGUCAAGGCUGGUAUGAACACAAACAUAUUUGGACAAAGUAUGCAUAAAUCAUUUAUAUGACUGUAUAAAGUAAAAAAAAAAAACAAACGGUAGAUAGUAAGUAGAUUCGUAUAUAUUUUAUAUUUAUGAUAAAUAACAAAACGGAAAUAGUCUUUCUCCGGAGAUUGUGUCGAUUUUCGAUUUACCCAAUCGAAACUCGUUUGAGGACUGUGGCCACUCCACUUCAGUCCUCAAGAAACAAGAAUGUUAAGCAAACCCUGCCCUAGGCUUAAAAGCGCACUAUUCAAAAGUAAAACAAAAAAUGCUUCUAAAUUAAACACAAACAAGGUCCCAUUUUCGAAAUCUUCUAAGUGUCUAUAUUCGUAUGUCGUACAAUACAAAUCACGAUAACAAAGCAACUUUUGUGUAAAAAAUAUAGCGAUUUUCUUUCAUACUGCUUACGUUUAUGUUUGCGCAAAACAAAUUAUCACAAGUAAAAGAAAACUGGAAAAAUACUUCUCCAGUACCCUAGAAGUAUUCACAGCUGACGAAUGGAACAGAAAAAAAACUCUUGAACGUCGCUAUUGUGCUGAUCGCGCAGAGCUCCUGCUCGGGGAUUGGUACUUACCACGAAACGCUACCUUAGUUUACCACUUAAUACAAACGACUAUUCAAUUGCAUUUUGAGUUACGAUAAUGGAAAAAGAAAACGUGAAUCUUAGCUAAAACACCGAUGUAGAAGUUUGAUUGUUUUACAUAUUUAAUGAAUGCAGUGUCAGUUAAGAAACAAAAAAAAAAAACAAAAUCAGAAAUUCGAAACAAAAAAAAAACACAAACUAGUUGCCUGUGAACUCUGUUGUUUUGAGUUCGAACUUAUCCGACAUUUUCUAGUGAGUAUAUUUACAAGUACGCAACACACACUCACAGACAAAAGUGGGGAGGGCUGGCAGCACUGUUGUGGCGGACAGAUUAAACGUAGAUUUUUCGGUACCACAAAUACAACAAAACCAUCACUCGUGACGAAGGGGUGAAAGCUUUCCAAGACAGAGACAGCCCCUCGUCGACGGGGAUGGUGAGACAAAGCUAAAACAACCAGUAUGGUAAGAACAACAUGAACAACAACGUGUACAACUUAAGUGACAAAAUGUAUGAAUGUAACUAAUGACGGACAGCAGACGAACAGAAUAUUCGACAUUAUUCAAGCAAAAGUGAGAGAUUGCAAACACAGGAAUAGGAGAACAUAGGAGAGUACAGUAUAAAUAAACAGAAUGGUAUAUUAUUGAUCGAUAAGUAUAUCUCGGCAACAGCAAGAAAAAAAGUAAACAAUUAUUUAGUGAAUAAAGGGAUAAACACACAGAAUCAUUGAUCUUAUAUUAAAAGCAAAACAAAAAUAUUUAAUUAUGUAUUAGUAAUUCUAUUGACAAAAAGUAUAAUAAUGGAAAAGAAUCAACACACACACAAUUAAAAGUGAAAACAUAAGAAUAGUGAUGAUAAAUAUACGAGUAAACAAAAUAUUAAAAA